CAGCAGCCGCGGUAAAACGGAGGGUGCAAGCGUUAAUCGGAAUUACUGGGCGUAAAGCGUGCGUAGGCGGCUUUUUAAGUCGGAUGUGAAAUCCCUGAGCUUAACUUAGGAAUUGCAUUCGAUACUGGGAAGCUAGAGUAUGGGAGAGGAUGGUAGAAUUCCAGGUGUAGCGGUGAAAUGCGUAGAGAUCUGGAGGAAUACCGAUGGCGAAGGCAGCCAUCUGGCCUAAUACUGACGCUGAGGUACGAAAGCAUGGGGAGCAAACAGGAUUAGAGACCCCAGUAGUCCCUGUCUCUUAUAC
rnacentral:rRNA from 1 species